GCCCAGGUGGCGGAAUUGGUAGACGCGCUGGCUUCAGAAGCCAGUGCCCGAGAGGGCGUGUGGGUUCGAGUCCCACCCUGGGCACCA
rnacentral:tRNA from 1 species